rnacentral:rRNA from 1 species
CCUACGGGGGGCAGCAGUAGGGAAUUUUUCACAAUGGGCGAAAGCCUGAUGGAGCAACGCCGCGUGCAGGAUGAAGGCCUUCGGGUUGUAAACUGCUUUUAUAAGCGAGGAAUAUGAUGGUAACUUAUGAAUAAGGAUCGGCUAACUACGUGCCAGCAGCCGCGGUCAUACGUAGGAUCCGAGCAUUAUCCGGAGUGACUGGGUGUAAAGAGUUGCGUAGGUGGGAUAAUAAGUAGCUAGUGAAAUCUGGUGGCUCAACCAUUCAGACUAUUAGCUAAACUGUUAAGCUCGAGACCGUUAGGGGUAACUGGAAUUUCUAGUGUAGGAGUGAAAUCCGUAGAUAUUAGAAGGAACACCAAUAGCGUAGGCAGGUUGCUGGGACGGUUCUGACACUAAGGCACGAAAGCGUAGGGAGCAAACGGGAUUAGAUACCCGGGUAGUC